rnacentral:tRNA from 1 species
GGAGAGAUGGCUGAGUCCGGCUUAAGGCGCCCGACUCGAAAUCGGGUGAACGGUUUGUCCCGUUCCGUGGGUUCAAAUCCCACUCUCUCCGCCA